GAUGAACGCUGGCGGCGUGCCUAAUACAUGCAAGUCGAGCGAACAGACGAGGAGCUUGCUCCCCUGACGUUAGCGGCGGACGGGUGAGUAACACGUGGAUAACCUACCUAUAAGACUGGGAUAACCUCGGGAAACCGGAGCUAAUACCGGAUAAUAUAUUGAACCGCAUGGUUCAAUAGUGAAAGACGGUUUUGCUGUCACUUAUAGAUGGAUCCGCGCGGCAUUAGCUAGUUGGUAAGGUAACGGCUUACCAAGGCGACGAUGCGUAGCCGACCUGAGAGGGUGAUCGGCCACACUGGAACGGAGACACGGUCCAGACUCCUACGGGAGGCAGCAGUAGGGAAUCUGCCGCAGUGGGCGAAAGCCUGACGGAGCAACGCCGCGUGAGUGAUGAAGGUCUUCGGUUCGUAAAACUCUGUUAUUAGUGAAGAACAAAUGUGUAAGUAACUAUGCACGUCUUGACGGUACCUAAUCAGAAAGCCACGGCUAACUACGUG
rnacentral:rRNA from 1 species